UACGGAGGGGGCUAGCGUUGUUCGGAAUUACUGGGCGUAAAGCGCACGUAGGCGGCUUUGCAAGUUAGAGGUGAAAGCCCGGGGCUCAACUCCGGAAUUGCCUUUAAAACUGCAUCGCUAGAGUUGUGGAGAGGUAAGUGGAAUUCCGAGUGUAGAGGUGAAAUUCGUAGAUAUUCGGAAGAACACCAGUGGCGAAGGCGACUUACUGGACACAUACUGGCGCUGAGGUGCGAAAGCGUGGGGAGCAAACAGG
rnacentral:rRNA from 1 species